AUAUAUAUAUAUAGUCCGACUACUAUGCUAUUAAUAGCACGAAACACUUGGUGCUACCAAGUUUUCCGCCGUUAGAUCUACCUUUUUGAUUAUUUUUAUCCGUUAAAUCAUAUUAUUCAACCAACUACCCACUCAACCCUAGGAGGGCCCACAUCAUCCUAAUCGCACAUCUCUUAAUCCAAUGGUCAAAAACUUGAUAGCACCAAUGACUUGGUGCUAUUAAUAGCAUAGUAGCCUAGUUCAUAUAUAUAUAUAUAUAUAUAUUGAGAAAAAGGUAGCAAGCUACCAUUUACUCUUUAUAUUUUAGCGUAUCUUAAUUUGUACUAAGUAGGAAACGUUUUUUUUUUUUUUUUUUUUUUUUCGUUUGUUCUCUGAGGCUUGAAUGCCUCAUUUUGUAGCCAAGUUCAUAAUCUAAAUGAAUGAAGCGGUAGCAUGCUACCUUUUCUCAAAAACAAAAAAAAAAAACUUCGCAACGUUAUAUUAUCUUUU
rnacentral:lncRNA from 1 species